rnacentral:rRNA from 1 species
AUUGAACGCUGGCGGCAGGCUUAACACAUGCAAGUCGAGCGGGGGAAGGUAGCUUGCUACCGGACCUAGCGGCGGACGGGUGAGUAAUGCUUAGGAAUCUGCCUAUUAGUGGGGGACAACAUCUCAAAAGGGAUGCUAAUACCGCAUACGUCCUACGGGAGAAAGCAGGGGAUCUUCGGACCUUGCGCUAAUAGAUGAGCCUAAGUCGGAUUAGCUAGUUGGUGGGGUAAAGGCCUACCAAGGCGACGAUCUGUAGCGGGUCUGAGAGGAUGAUCCGCCACACUGGGACUGAGACACGGCCCAGACUCCUACGGGAGGCAGCAGUGGGGAAUAUUGGACAAUGGGGGGAACCCUGAUCCAGCCAUGCCGCGUGUGUGAAGAAGGCCUUAUGGUUGUAAAGCACUUUAAGCGAGGAGGAGGCUACUUUAGUUAAUACCUAGAGAUGGUGGACGUUACUCGCAGAAUAAGCACCGGCUAACUCUGUGCCAGCCGCCGCCGUAA